UUCCUCUCUGCUCCCAGCAGUUAAGAGGCCAGUGUUGAUCAGUGGCUGUCCAGGCCUUUCAGAGCCACUGACACGCCGGCAGCACAAUGAUAAUGUCACUGACUCUACUGCUGGCCACCCUGGGGCUCCUUGUUCAGGAUUCAUCAGGAGAAAUCAUCCUGACUCAGUCUCCUAAAGCUCAGUCUGUUGUUCCAGGACAGACUGUCUCUAUCAGAUGUAAAGCCAGUUCAAGUAUGGGCAGCUACCUUCACUGGUACCUUCAGAAACCCGGAGAAUCUCCCAAACUUUUGAUUCAUUAUGCCACAACUCGUCAGUCUGGAGUUUCAAAUCGUUUCAGUGGGAGUGGAUCUGGAACUGACUUCACUUUGACCAUCAGUACAGUUCAGAUUGAGGAUGCAGGAGUUUACUAUUGUCUACAGAGUGGUUACAGUUACCCGUUCACACAGUGAUACAACGUCGUACAAACACCUCCCUCAGCUGGAGAGCAACUGAUCUGAAUCAACAGCUGCACAGAAAUACAGACACUUUAGACAUUUAACAGACAGUGAAGUCCAUAUAACAGAAGACCAUCAGUAAAUAUGAUGUA